AUUGAACGCUGGCGGCAGGCCUAACACAUGCAAGUCGAACGAGUGGCGGACGGGUGAGUAAUGUCUGGGAAACUGCCCGAUGGAGGGGGAUAACUACUGUAAACGGUAGCUAAUACCGCAUACCAUCGGAUUUGCCCAGAUGGGAUUAGCUAGUAGGUGGGGUAACGGCUCACCUAGGCGACGAUCCCUAGCUGGUCUGAGAGGAUGACCAGCCACAUGGGAACGGAGUCACGGCGCCGGCUGCGACGGGAGGCAGUAUGGGGGAAUAUGGCACAUUGGGCCCAAGCCGCAUGCAGAAAGGCCGCGUGUAGGAAGAAGGCCUUGGGGUGUCCAAGGACUUUCGGCGAAGAGACGUUAGUCGCAUAAGAAGCACGGGCUAACUCCGUGCCAGCCGCCGCGGUAAUAC
rnacentral:rRNA from 1 species